AUGGAUUUCAGUAAAAACAAGAAACUGGUGAAGAAAUUGGCAAAGAAGCACCAUGCUUUUUUUUUAGCUUCUGAAGCUGUUAUCAAGCAGAUUCCACGUUUGUUGGGUCCUGGUCUAAACAAGGCAGGAAAGUUUCCUACACUUGUUUCCCAACAAGAAUCUCUUGAAGCCAAGGUUAAUGAGACUAAGGCUAUCGAUGGAUGUUGGAGCUUUGAAGAAGCUAAACAAAAACAAGAACUAUGCACUAGCUUAGAGAAAAAAAUGUAA